AUUUUGGGGUCAUAGAGUGUAUGGCUUAAGCGAUUCUCGGCUCACUGGAAAGGAGCAUGCAGGGGAGAUGGGUUUUCCUCUUCAGAUCUUUAUGCUGGAGCAUCGGGUAGGGACGGGACCGAUCGACUACCGAUAGAUUUGGGAUUGUUUGUGGGUGGAGCAGAAAAAUUUUGUUUCUGGAUUUGUAUUGUUGUGUUUUUCCGUAGAGACGCCACUCUAGUAUAUAUUUAGGUGUGUGUUUAUAUGUGUAUGGGUGUAUGUGUAUAUAUGCAUGCUUUUAUUAAUUUUACCUAUUUGUACCAAACAUGCCUAACAAGUAUGUGAGAAUCAUACAUUAAUCAGAUCACACAAAAACAAGGAUUUGCCGGCACAAUUCACUAAUGCUCAAAUUCCUUGUGUUUUUUCCUUUGCAUAAAUAUAUACUUCUCACAUACGCACUACACAAUACGCCUACAAAUGAGAGAAAAGUAUAAAUGCGACCUAUUCAUAUUUGCCCCAUUUGUUCCACAAAACGGAAGUCACUAUCUUGGACUUUAAAAUCGUAUCUGCGGUCGGAUGAACUUCAAAACAUCCGAAGUUUUCCCAAACUAUUCACAAUGCAACUAUUUUUCUACUCACUUUAUAUUCGCGGUGGAUGAAACCAUUAUUUGUCCCUGCCUAGGUUAGCUCUAGAUAUUUGUGAUGUUUCAACGACGUAAUUUUCCCGAAAUGUAUUAGAAAGCAAAUUGUUGAAUGAUUUUCAAAAUCGAAAUUCUCAUAACAUGUCACAUUUUUAAAAUCUUUACAGUUAAAAAUUGCAUUUGUUUUGUCGGUACAAACGAAAGGAAUGUUUUUCAAAAAAAAGCCUAUCAUCACUCUUCUAAACAAUUUGAACCCACGGCUUGAUUGUUUGCAGAUGAUCUUCAAUGAAAUACACUCAAUUUUAGACCUGGAAAAUUAUUAGGAAAUCAAGAGGUUGCCCAGCAAUUUCGAAUGCUCAUAAAGAUCUCGCAUGUCCGUCGCAGAUUUUCUCAGUCUUGAUCCAUUUAAAUCUAUUUGGCGCUGCUUACUGAUAUCCAGCUGCUGUGAACGAAUGUUACAUUUACCGUUCGCCUGUAAUAAUAACAAAAAUAAUAAUUAACACAGUAUUUAACCGGAUAAAAAAAGAUAACAUUAAUAGAACAAACUGUGCAGUUAGGUCGAAAUACCAUACGUAGCAUGGUGCUAGUGUUACUAACGUGAAGUACUCUGCCGUGAGAUGACAAAGUGAAGUAAGUUAGAGGUGGGCAAUCCGCUCACGAACUGAUCUAAAGAGCUGGUUCUUCAAAGUGAGUGAGUGAUCUAUCGCUCUUUUUUAAAGAGCGGUAACUCACCCCUUACUUCAAGCAAAAAGCUGAAGCUGAUUUUGUUGAUCAGACACCGCAAGCGAGAGCCAUAUGAAUGUUUUACACCCAAUACCAUCACACUGCAAUACCAUCCUAUGCAUAACCAUCCACCAGCCGCGGGAAUAAAAAAUAAAAUCUACUUGCCACAGUGCACACGGGCUGGCUAACGCCGGGACGUACAUGAAAAGUGGAACGAAAAGAGCGAAAGAACUGAUUCACUGAUCUUUUAAAUCUAUGCAGACAAUCCGCUUGCGAGCUGAUCAGAAAAUCAGUUCUUUAAAAGAUCGAAAUCUUCUGAUCGCGAGCGGAUUGCCUGCGAGCUGAACAAAAGAGCCAUCGGACGAACCAGUUCUUCUGAGAGCAAAAGAUUUCACUCUUUCAAAGAACUGAGUCUUUUGAUCACCCUGCGAGCGUAUUGCCAGAUCAGUGAAUCAGUUCUUUCGUUCUUUUCGUUCCACAUCCAUUCGUGUGCGUACUCGGCGUUAGUCAUUCCGUGUACCUGUGUAUGGACUGUUGCAAGUUGUUUUUUUGCAUGCUCUUGCGGCUGGCUGGUGGCUGGGUGAUGGGGAAUGCAGGAUAUGCAUAUCAGGGAAGACGUUUGGUGGCAGCUUGUUUCUGGGAGUUCUAUUGUAGUUUUGCGCGCGAUCUUGUGCUCGGCAAAUCGGGUGUAAAGCUUUCACAUGGCUCUCGCUUGCGGUGUCUGAUAAUUAGCUACACUGAUAAAAGCCAAAAAUUAUGUAGGAACGAAAAGAGCGAGUGAGCUGUUAAAAAGAACUAGUUCAUUUUAGUGAGCGGAACCGCUCUGAUCCGCUCACUAUAGUGAAUCACUUUUCCCACCUCUAAAGUAAAUGCCAUUUUUUCGAAUAUGAGGUUUUCACGCCAAUAUGUUCGUUAUUCGAAGACCUAUCUCUUGGUAUCUUCCUUUUCGUUUAUUCGUAUGUUGCAUAAAUAAAAAAAAAAAAAUUGACGUAGGCAUUUAAUGCAAAAGUGAGUGACAAAAAAUUCAUUCGUUUUAAACCGUACUGAAAAGAUGUGUGUACUGUAGAUGUAAACACCGCGCGUUUGAUAGUUGAUUUUAAAAUCAUUGUUUUUUGUUGUACAAUUCGUUCGAUAACCGUAAUUUCUGUGUUACUGUGUUAUUUACAUCGAUUGUGAUCAUACUGUGCUGUGGGACAUUGAAAAUUGGACCGCUAUAAAUCGACAUUGAAUUCCGCCAAACUUAAUUUUUUCACUACGAUGGCAAAGAAGAUGUGCAAACAAUGCCAACAGUUAGCCUAUACACCAGAGAGACGCCGAGAUACUCACCGUUAAGGCAACUGUCAACAUCAAAACGGGCGAGCUGUAUAAUUUCGCAUUGCCGUUAUUCGUUUCGAUGUUGACAGUUGCCUCAACGGUAGUGCCUUGUCAUUUCUCUAAUAUACAGGUUCACUAAAUGCCAAUUGGUGAACGAAACCAAAUCGAUGUAGCGAGUACAUUUUAGUAAUAUUUGUUUGUAAAUAUUAGUUACAAAAUAUUUGCAUGCUUCGAAUGAGGUUUCACUUCAAAUAUUUUAAAACAGUUUUCCAAAUAAAACGUUUGAUUCAAUCACCGUAAGCAAGGCCACAGUCAGAAUAGUAAUUGGCAUGAUAUUCGAAAAAUGAGAUCCCCGGUGCUCAAGUGCGCUAAUUGCCUUUCUCCACCGAUGCUGCUGAUGCGACGGGAUGAUUGACCCAGCCGUGAAAGUCUAUCGACCUUUGGCCCCUACACUUCACUUUAGUCUGGCUAGUGGAGGAGUUAGGAGUGACUUGUGAUUAGCUCGGUCGAGUACAGGCAAAAGUAUAAGGUGUUAACUGCCGCUAUUCGUAUAACGGUCCUAUGUAAAAUUUUGGUGUUUUUAUGUUUUUUUGUGGGAAUGGGUUCAUUUUAGUAUGUUUUUCAAAAAUUGCUUGAAGAAGUAAGGUUUGUUCCUUGAAACUUCGAUUUUUUUUUCUCUCAGGAUGUACCACGUACUAAUUAUUAGCAUAACAGUCCUAGGUUUUACUUCUCAUAUAACCCUUUCUAGAAAUCAUUUUCAAUCACGUUGAAGGUAAAAUUGCUUCAUGCGUUAAGCAAACCUUGAAUCUAUUCAACUAUUUUUUUGUAGUUUUGUCAAGGGAUCAGCCAUUCAUUACGAAAAAAUAAAAAUCGAAAUUAAAAUUAGAGGUUUAUUCGAAGAAAAUGUUAUAGUUUAAAUUAAAGCUUCAUGUGGAAUCUUUAAGAGAUAACUAGCAUUGUGGAAGGUUUUUCCAAAAGAAUUUUUGUUCAUCAGGAACAACUGUCAGAAUCACGGCCAACAGCGCACUUUUCCGGUCGGGGCUUACACAUACUGGCUUUUUCUGUCUAAUCAGGGCGCUUUCUAAAUUCAAGUUGCUCGAAUUUAUUAUCUUUCGCUGUUUGCCAGAUAUUAUGUUGCAGGUCAGCAGCAUAUCCGUUUCUUCGAUCGAACUACUGUACUGCAUAUCGUAGGAACCUUUCUUGAAGACGACUUUUCUAAUCUGUUCAAUGUAAGGACGCGGGCUACAUUUGUUCAGGAUAUACGGAGCGACUGCAAACUUCGUUUCAAAAAAGUCGGCUGCUUGCAUGCUCAUUACUUCCACCUUCUUCGUUGCUUUUUGUACUGCGUUUCGAAAAUCGGAAAGUCAGCGUUCGUGGUCCGUGACGCAUCAUAGCCCUUUCAACUGCUGCGUAAAAGCUAUCGGCGGCCUUGAAUGUAUGGCCACUUUCGAAGAAUUUCAGCGUCACAUUCUUGACAAGGACAUGCUCUGAGUUGACCAACAAAAUCAUAUAGAGGAAAAAAUUCCAAUUUUUAUUUUGAGAUGAACAGUUGUCCAGCCAAAAUGUCACUUUUUCCUCAUGUCAUGUCCUUAUACUGGAUAAGCACUUUAUAAAAGCAGCUGGUAAUAUUACUAGCCGACCGUCCAGCCGUGCUUUCAUCCCAUACACAAGCCGUUACUGGAAAGGUUGCAGAAUAGGCACCCACUGGUGCAAACGUUUCAUUAAACGCGAGCAACCGUUGGCUGAAAAUGAUUGAUUUUAGUCCAUCCAAACGAGGUAGCUGUAUGACCUAAAAAACAGAUUUAGAUUAAACCAACAAUUUUAUUAAAAAAUAAUUAUUACCUUCUGAAGAUCAACAGCCAGAAUAAUUUCCUUUGGCCUUACAUGAUGGCCGUCUUUCUGAUACUCAAUCCGUGCCUCCGUCGCUAGUCGCAUAUGCUCAGAAUAAAAGCGACACAUAGAGCAUGUCGGCGACGUCUCAUCUGGAUGUCCUGUUUCUUUUUCAUGAAGCGUACUGUACCAACGAUAUGUGCAUUUCUGCCAUAACACGGCUGUAGAAAGAAUAGCUUACUUUCAGUUCCGGACUUGCGGACUGUUGGUAUUGCUCAUGCAUGGAUGUUUCCGUGAGAUCAGAGGGUAGGUAGAGACGGUUUGGUGCAUGCUGGCGGCGGUAAUGAGACACGGACGGAUUAAAAGAUUCAAUAUGCGCUUUGACGGCUUCGUAUUUGGCAGUGCUCCUUUUAUACUUUCCACGCUGUGAUAAUUUUACACUUCCGUCAAUAUUUUCUUUGAAGCAUCGAUAUACAAUGUUUCUUAAACAAAUUUUGAAACAAAUUUUUAUAGGUAAUAAGUUAUAAAUAGGUCUAAGAUUGGAAAACUUACCCGCAAUUUUGAUUAAAGCCAAUAGUAUUCAAAAAACAUUCUUGCAUACUUGUUGUAUUUCUCCGCUUUCUAACCGAAUGUGGAAAACAUAAGAGAAGAGCUUUCUCGGAUCAUUAGCUAAACGGUUCUUUCGACGUGUCUUCACGGUCAUACGCUUCACGUUCUCACGUAUAAAGCUACUUUGAUCCGCAUCAUUCAAAUUCCAAAACUUGGCAUGUGUGAGGACUCUCACAUCUUUCGUCAUCGCCGUGCUGCAGUCUUUACUGCAGCCACAGUUCGCCAUGAUUGCGUUGUGGUUUAAUCGCCGGGAUUUCGCAACCCUCAAUUUUUGUAAUUCUCUUUUUGUUCGCUUCCGUUUUUUGUAGCUCCCCUGAAGAAGCUACUGUCCAAAUCAGGGGUCUCCGUAGACCCAGAUCCUGUUGCAAAAUUUUGCUGCUGCUUUAGCGCAGUAUCCAAUUGCCAAGGUUUGGACGGAAACUGCGCAGGUUCGCCGAAGCCGAUAAAAUCCUCGUCAGAGUUAUCUUCCUCACUUAAAUAAACAUCCAAAAGCUCAAGAGCGGACAUUUUCGAACACAUGCGAAAACAAUUUUCCAAAUAAAACAACCUUUUGUGUAAAAAAACAACUGCAAACUAGCUGUCAAACUGUUGCUCUCGAACGUAGGACUGGUGUGCGAAAAUUUUGUUGAUAGAUGGGCAAAAUAUUUGCCUAACAGUCUCCCUGUUAUUUUUUUAGUAAAACACAUGUUUUUUGAAAAAUCAAAGAAAAAGUUAUCGGUUUCCGUUAUACUCUAGUAGAAAAUUGAAAUAAAUAUUGAAAUUCAGUCCGCGCAAAUAUAUAUUUCGACUGUGACAUACAGUCUUCCUCAGUGCUUAUGUGGACUGGUAAAGAGCAAAGCGUAAAUCCUGUUUUUUGUUUGUAGUAGGUAAAAAUGAAAAUUUAGCACUCUUAAUUGGAGUUAGGUAGGGAAUUAUGCGGUCGAUUGUUUAUCGUACCAUGUCUGGGGUUUUUGGGAAGCAGAUUGAAUAGCCAUGAGGGGUGAUUACCUGCGUCUUUGUUGAGAAGCGUGCAUGAGUGUUGUUUAUAAAUUUCUAAACUUUCAGCUACGUCUAAUUUCCAUAAAUUAUUAACGGGGCGGAGGAGGUGAAUGUUAUCCGAAGUUAGUGGAUGUUCCUCGUUAAAAAUAUGUUCAGCCACUUUUGAUUUGAAAAGGUGUGGUGGGGCAUUUUUUGAAGCUUUACUUGCUUUUGUCACUUCUUCGAAAUGUUCUUUGAAACGUAUCCCUAGGUUACGUUUAGUUUGUCCAAUGUAAAGCAUAUCACAGUGACUGCAUGCAAUUUUAUAAAUUCCAGCUUUGUUCAGGGUAUCAAUAGGGUCUUUGGUAGACCCCAAUUUUGUUUUGAGUUGGGUAUUUCUACUAGUGUAGACAAUAUCCAUCCCAAAUUUCCUAAAUUUUGAACGAAGUGGGCGUGUCAAGUCAACGUCAUAUUCAACGGUUACCCUUUUCUUCUGUUAUUGGGGUGAGUGUUGUAAAAAAUUUCCGAAUUUGAGCACGCUUCUUUUUAUCAACAAUGGCUUGAAUGAUACUUUCAUUGUAGCCAUUAAGUUUAGCAAUUUCGAAAAUAUAUUCCAGUUCCUUUUGCUUGGCUACUUCACUUAGAGGUAAAGUUUCCAUGCGGUGGAUCAUAUGAUGGAAAGAUGUCAUUUUAUGCUGGAAGGGAUGGUUUGAAGUGUUAGGUAUUACCCGUUUUGUAUUCGUGGGUUUCCGAUAAAUUUCAAUUUCCAAGUCCGUAGACUUUCUGACUACAACGACGUCCAAGAAAGGGAGUCUGUUGUUAAGUUCUUUUUCAAUUGUGAAGUUUAUAUUUUUAUGGGUAUUAUUAAGGGAUAUGAAAAAAGUUUCAAGAUCCGCCCUUUUCAAAAUACAAAAAAUACCAUCCACAUACCUUUACCAUCGAAUCGGUAAGAUGUUCCUCUUCUCUAAUGUACUUUCUAUAUUUGCCAUGAAGAGCUCACAUAAAGGGGGGAGAAAGAGGAUUCCCCAUUGGUGCCCCUUUAGCAUGUUUGUAAAAUUUACCACGAAAUGUGAAGUAGUUUUCUUUCAUGCAAAGGCGUGAAAGUUUCAACAAACUGUCAACUUUCUUUUUUCCAAGUAUUAUCAGAAUAUUGGGAAAGAAGCCAGUCCUCUAAAAGGUUUAAGGUUUCAUUCACUGCAACGCUAGGAAAUAAGGCCGUAACGUCAAAUGAAACCAUUAUCUCAUCAGAUUGGAUGUUACCCGAGGAUCUUAAAUUUUCAACGAACUGAUCGACUUGGAAAUUUCUUGGGCAUGGCUUGAAAUUCUUUUACCAGCCAUUUAGCCAAUUUUUCUGUGGGAGCCCCUACCGCUGAGAUAAUUUCUCUCAAAAAAAUAUCUCAAAACAAAAUUGGGGUCUACCAAAGACCCUAUUGAUACCCUGAACAAACCUGGAAUUUAUAAAAUUGCAUGCAGUCACUGUGAUAUGGUUUACAUUGGACAAACUAAACGUAACCUAGGGAUACGUUUCAAAGAACAUUUCGCAGAUGGACAAAAGCAAGUAAAGUUUCAAAAAAUGCCCCACCCCACCACACCUUUUCAAAUCAAAAGUGGCUGAACAUAUUUUCAACGAGGAACAUCCACUAACUUCGGAUAACAUUCAACUCCUCCGCCCCGUUAAAAAUUUAUGGAAAUUAGACGUAGCUGAAAGUUUAGAAAUUUAUAAACAACACUCAUACACGCUUCUCAACAAAGACGCAGGUAAUCACCCCUCAUGGCUAUUCAAUCUGCUUCGCAAAAACCCCAGACAUGGUACGGUAAACAAUCGACCGCAUAAUUCCCUACCUAACUCCAAUUAAGAGAACUAAAUUUUCAUUUUCACCUACUACAAAUAAAAAACAGGAUUUACGCUUUGCUCUUUACCAGUCCACAUAAGCACUGAGUAAGACUGUAUGUCACAGUCGAAAUAUAUAUUUGCGCGGACUGAAUUUCAAUAUUUAUUUCCAAAAAAAUUUCUAGUAGAGUAUAACGGAAACCGAUAACUAUUUCUUUGAUUUCUUAAUCACUCUGCUAAGACGCUCGGUAUAGAUUUUCUAAAUUUGACAUGUUUUUUGUUUUUAUUUGUGGUUUUUUUUUCCGACGAAGCCUUUGUUCCUAAUAAGUUGUGUGCGUUUGUGCAAAAAUUUACAGCGAAAGAAAGAACACCGAUGCGAAAUGAUGAUUAUAUCGAAAAAGUUUCAAUCGCAUUUUUCUCGGCAGCUGAAUUUUCGACGUAGGACUGUUAUGCUCAAAGCGGCAGUUAACCGCAUUGAAAUCUUAAACAGGAUCGCUAAAUUUCCUUUCCCUAGAUAGUGAAGCUGUUCCCAUUCCAACGAAGCGGAAUGUAAAAUCCACCGAGAGUGGUAGGCACUGAGUGAGUACACAACUAAGAAAUAGUUCAUGCGCAUGUGACCAGAGAUAAGGGGCGAGAUCCUAAAAUUGACCAAUAAGUUCGAAUCGUGUAUGGAAGAAAGAAGUUUAGAUCGCACAGUAGGAAGAAAAGUUAGAUAGUUUAAAUGGGAAAGGUAAGGGAGAAGAAAGACUAGGCCUAGCGAAGAGAAUGAUUAAAUCUAAUGUUUGACGGUAAAUUAAGGAAUGCUAAUUAAACCCCAUAUAAUCGUAAAACCAGACUUGUGAAUAUUGGCUAAUAUUGUGCGCUAUUCCCUUUAGUGUCUUGGGAGAGGUUUCCAUGCGGUUCGGGUGACGUAGUUCUGCCUAGUUAUCUUUUUGUG